rnacentral:rRNA from 1 species
UACGUAGGGUGCGAGCGUUGUCCGGAAUUAUUGGGCGUAAAGAGCUCGUAGGCGGUCUGUUGCGUCGGUUGUGAAAACCUGGGGCUCAACUCCAGGCCUGCAAUCGAUACGGGCAGACUAGAGUUCGGUAGGGGAGACUGGUAUUCCAGGUGUAGCGGUGAAAUGCGUAGAUAUCUGGAGGAACACCGGUGGCGAAGGCGGCAUCCUGGACCGAGAUUGACGCUGAGGCGCGAAAGCCAGGGGAGCAAACGGG